UUAAUAUUAUUUGUACGAAAAACUCGUGUAAUCAUAUCUUGUAUUAGUUUAUAUAACAAAUUAUGAGUAUAAAAUUUGAUACUUUCAUUUGUUAACACGAAAGAAUGUUCAAGCAAAAAAGAAAUGCAUAAGGGUAAACUUAAAAAUUCAAUUAAGUGUAGAGCCUCAAAUUUGCCCGGUCCAACAAAUUAAAAUCAAACCUAAAUCUUACCAAUUCACAAGCCCAAAUCAAACCAGACACUACCCCAGCCCAAAAUUUUACAAGCCCAUAAUUCUAAAAGAAUAGCAGAAAUAAAAAAAAAAAAACCUAGCAGCAGUGUGCGCCGCUCCCCACAUGCCUGGUCAGCGCCUCCAACGCCCAAGGCUCGGCGCCCCAUCCCAUCGCCCGUACCACCAAACCCUGUGACACCUACAAAACCAAAGCAACAAGCAAGAAAAGGCAGACAACAGCAAAGCAAAAAAUAUGGUAUUGGCCAUUUUUUUUCGGUUAAAAGAGAAAAGAGGGAACCGAUUGUAGGGGAAGCGGUUUUUUUAAUACAAAAAGAUUGUAUUACACGGAACAUAUUUUAGAGAAAUCAAAAGCAGAAAACAAGUUGAAAAGGUUUGCUUUUAUUUUAUUUUAUUUUUUUUGUUUUUCCCUUUUUUUUUCUUUUUUAUUUGUUUUACAAAUCUUUUUACAAAGAAAAGCAUAAUAAAAAAGGGAACUCACUCGAAGCCUCCCGCGGUCGCGACGUCGGUGAACCUUUCUCCAUCGUCGGAAUCGGGCCCAAAAGGGAGCCGAGAGACUCCUCUCUUCGGCGUCUCUGCGUUUUGGUCGUGUGGCCUUCAAGGGGUGUCCAAAACGGGGUUAAAAAUGCCCAUUUGCGCGACGCCGGUCACCGGUCACGGUGGUGGUGCGACGACGGCGAGGAUGGGUUUCUUUUGAAACCCUAGUAGAGAAUAAAUGGGAAAAGGAAUGGGUGUUUUCGGAUUUUUUUUAAGAGAAGGAAGCAAAAAUGAAAAAAAUAUUUCGUUUAAAUACAGGGGUGAAAUGGUGCCGUUUUGCACCAGGGUCACCAGCGCCUAAACGGUGCCGUUUGGGGCUCACCAGACGCGACCCGACCCGCUUCCUCAGGAUCCGCGCGUUUCCAACUUUCGGGUUAUUUACCCUUUUGGUCCUUCCGCAUUUUUGAAAUCUUAAAUUCUAUUUUUUAUUCUUUAAUUUUAUUGCUGUUUUACUUCAGUCCUCGUGGAGCUAUGCGUUUUGGGGGACGGGGAUAUUGCCCCAUUCGGUCCCCCAUCUCAUUCGCGUAUCACAAUUUGGGGCCCAAUAUUUUAUUUUCAUUACGUUUUGUUCCUUUUAAUUCAAUUUUAAUUUCAAUUCGGU
rnacentral:lncRNA from 1 species